rnacentral:rRNA from 1 species
GCUACGGGUGGCAGCAGUGAGGAAUAUUGGUCAAUGGGCGCGAGCCUGAACCAGCCAAGUAGCGUGAAGGAUGACUGCCCUACGGGUUGUAAACUUCUUUUAUAAAGGAAUCAAGUGAGGCACGUGUGCCUUUUUGUAUGUACUUUAUGAAUAAGGAUCGGCGAACGUCGUUCCAGCAGCCGCGGUAAUAAGGAGGAUCCGAGCGUUAUCCGGAUUUUAUGGGUUUAAAGGGAGCGUAGAUGGGUUGUUAAGUCAGUUGUGAAAGUUUGAGGCUCAACCGUAAAAUUGCAAUUGAUACUGGCAGUCUUGAGUAAAGUUGAGGUAGGCGGAAUUCGUGGUGUAGCGGUGAAAUGCUUAGAUAUCACGAAGAACUCCGAUUGCGAAGGCAGCUUACUAAACUGCCACUGACAUUGAUGCUCGAAAGUGUGGGUAUCAAACAGGAUUAGAUACCCUUGUAGUC